GUGCUCACUUCGGCAGUACAUACACUAAAACUGGAACAAAACAGAGGAGAUUGGCAGGGCCCCCGCAAAAGGAUGACACCCAAACUCAUGAAGCAUUCCAUUUUUCA
ensembl:snRNA U6 U6 spliceosomal RNA